ensembl:snRNA Rnu6-592 RNA, U6 small nuclear 592
UUUGUUUUAGCACAAAACAAUACUGAAAUUGGAACAAUACAGAGGUUAGCAUAGCCCCUGAACAAGGAGGGCACACAAGGCUGUGAAGCAUUCCAUAUUAAA